rnacentral:misc_RNA from 1 species
ACGGUGAUCCCCUGCAUCAUGCACUUGAACUCGCCGAAGUCGACGCGGCCGUCGCAGUCGCGGUCGACGUUGCAGAUCAUCUCCUGCACCGUGGCGAGGUUCCGGGCCUCGGGGAGGCCGAGCUUCUUGAGCACGGCCUGCAGCUCGGCGGCGGAGAUGAAGCCGUCGCCGUCCUCGUCGAACACCCCUCGUCUGCCUCAUCUCCCCUCUGCCGCCG